rnacentral:rRNA from 1 species
AAAAUUUAAAUUUAAUAUACUAAAAUAGUAAAUAAAUAUUUAUUUAAACUUAAAUAAUUUGGCGGUAUUUUAGUUCAUUUAGAGGAAUCUGUUUAAUAAUUGAUAUUCCACGAAUAAAUUUACUUAAUUUUUUUUUAUUUUGUAUAUCGUUGUUAUAAAAAUAUUUUUAAAUGAGUUUAAUAUUUAAAAAUUAAUAUUUAAAAUUAAAUCAGAUCAAGAUGCAGAUUAUAAUUAAGAAUAUAAUGGAUUACAAUAAAUUUAUUUAAAUGGAUUUUAAUUUUUAAUAGUUAAUUGAAAGUGGAUUUAAAUGAAAUUUUAUUUAGUUUAUUAAAAUGAUUAAAAAUUAAAAUAUGU